CUUCUUACAUUCACAAUCUCAACAAACCUUGUUAUCUUUGCUCUUUUCCAUUCAACACCAAACACUAUGAGGUUUAUGCACCCCAAGUGCAUUGUGGGAACAUUUUGCAGCAACAAGUCUGGUCCAAACCAGUCUGGACCAGGUCUGAGCUGAACGCCUUCGACACUUAACGUUAAAUGUCAGUAAGAAUUCCAUCCAUGAUUCAGAAAGAGGGCGAGGAAACUCUGAGGCUUGGUACGGAGAGGAAACGAGCACAGCUGAACAACAUUGGCAGGGCUGAUAGAGUCUAAAACCAAAACAGCUCAUGUUUGCAGUAAUUAUUUUAUCUCAGUGCGAAUUCCACAAAGUGACAGAUGUGGUAGAAAAGGAUCAUGUGAAAAGGUCGAGUAUUUUUAAAAGUGCCUUGCUGAAAUUAUGAUGUUUUGCUGUAAUUGUUGUGUUUACAUGCUGCUGCUUUAAAGGGCUUAUAAGCAGUGAGCUUUCCUCAGGUUAGCACACUUCUUUAACGCAUACAGUUUCAUCAGUACUAAUAACUUUCUUGAUUUACACCUCAUAUCAAUGGAUUAUUGGAUUUAUUGUUAACCUCAUAUAGUACAGACAUUACUGUGUGUUCCAGAUGGUCUUUUUUGUUUUAGGAUAUUUGCAGAUUUGUCAGUCAGUGUUCAAUUCAUCCAUUCUGUAUAGUGAUCACUCAGUGUAUUCAUUAAAGGUUUUACUAAUAAUCGUUUAAAGCAUUAGAAAAUUAAUUUACUGAGGAAAUUUAAUAAUAUCACCUUGCAGUGUGGGGCGGCACGGUGGUGUAGUGGUUAGCGCUAUCGCCUCACAAUAAGAAGGUCCGGGUUCGAGCCCCAUGGCCGGCGAGGGCCUUUCUGUGCGGAGUUUGCAUGUUCUCCCCGUGUCCGCGUGGGUUUCCUCCGGGUGCUCCGGUUUCCCCCACAGUCCAAAGACAUGCAGGUUAGGUUAACUGGUGACUCUAAAUUGACCGUAGGUGUGAAUGUGAGUGUAAAUGGUUGUCUGUGUCUAUGUGUCGGCCCUGUGAUGACCUGGCGACUUGUCCAGGGUGUACCCCGCCUUUCACCCGUAGUCAGCUGGGAUAGGCUCCAGCUUGCCUGCGACCCUGUAGAAGGAUAAAGCGGCUAGAGAUAAUGAGAUGAGAUGAGACCUUGCAGUGUUAAAAAAAACAGCACCAUUUUCAUGCGUUGUGUGCAAUACAGACUUUGACCACAAGAUGGGAGCAGAGCACAAAACAAAUCAGGGCCUGGUUCUGGAUCAAUGUGAGAAGGUUGUGAUUGUGGAAUUUUUAUUUUAUUUUUUUAUUUUACCAACUUUAUUGGACUGUUACAAAAUAAACAUAAAAAAAGAAAUAAACAUAAAAAUAAACAUAAUAAAGUAAGUCAGCUCAAAGGGGAGAACGCGAACGGGUGACCCAUGCAAGGCGUUUCCCUGAAGGUAUAAAAGAGAAAAAUCAUACAAUUAAAAUUAGACUAAAUUGAUCUGUGGCAACCACAGUCACGGUACACAGACCAAGUACAUGAAAAGUCCGUAUUAUAGGUGGAGGUCAGUAAUUCAAAGUACAGCUCUAACAGGGAUGAUUUAAAAACAGGUAGGCUACGGAAUUUAUCUGGGGAAAAAUAUUUACAUACAUAGUUCCAUGGUUUAACAAUCCUAUUGAAGAAUGAGGCCUGAUAAGUUGAAGUUCUGCAGUGUGCAGGUUUUAAAAUUAAUUUCGGAUUUUGGGCCCUAGACCGGUCAUGAGUUACAAAAGACACGUAGAGGUUUACGUUCAAAUCUGUUUGGCCAUUAAUGCAUUUAUAUACAAAGACUAAGUCUCUAAUCUCCCGAUCAUAAGUCAGAGGAAGCAAGUGCAGGCUUCUGAGUCUGUCUGUCUGUGUAAGUGGCAUCCCCAAUACGCUGUUGUAGUAUCCAGCGCAUUGCACGUCGUUGGACUCUCUAACAGGCUUCUAAGGUUGACACUAGCAGGGGACCAUACAUCAGAUGCGUAACAGAGCUGUGACUUGACGAGCGACAAAUAUAAAGUCUUCCUCACUUGAAUUUCCAUCAGCAAGGGACAGGAUCUUUUUAGAAAGCCAAGCAUCUGAUUAGCCUUGUUGACUAUUGAGCAGACGUGCGAAUCCCAUUUUAAAUUACUUGAAAUAACCACU